rfam:Myotis lucifugus cont2.23636, whole genome shotgun sequence.
GGUGGUUUUCAGGUGACGCACCCCGGAAUCAGGCUCCCUCCUCUAUGGUUCCAGGGUGCAUCACCCGAGAACUGCA